rnacentral:rRNA from 1 species
GACGAACCGUGCGAACGUUAUUCGGAAUCAUUGGGCUUAAAGAGCGCGUAGGCGGCGCUGCAAGUCGAAGGUGAAAUCCCACCGGCUCAACCGUGGAAUCGCCUGCGAAACUGCAGCGCUUGAGGGAGCUAGGGGCAUGUGGAACUUCCGGUGGAGCGGUGAAAUGUGUUGAUAUCGGAGGGAACGCCAGUGGCGAAAGCGGCAUGCUGGAUCUCUACUGACGCUGAGGCGCGAAAGCUAGGGUAGCGAACGGG